rnacentral:rRNA from 1 species
GACGAACGCUGGCGGCGUGCUUAACACAUGCAAGUCGAACGAAGUGGCGAACGGGUGAGUAACGCGUAAUCAACCUGCCCUUCAGCGGGGGACAACAGGUGGAAACGACUGCUAAUACCGCAUACUGAAGGAGGGGCUUGCGUCUGAUUAGCUAGUUGGAGGGGUAACGGCCCACCAAGGCGAUGGUCAGUAGCCGGUCUGGGAGGAUGAACGGCCAACUUGGGACUGAGACAAGGCCCAGACGCCUACGGGGGGCAGCAGUGGGGAAUUUUCCGGAAUGGACGAAAGUCUUACUGAGCAACGCCGCGUGAGUGAUGACGGCCUUCGGGUUGUAAAGCUCUGUUAGUCGGGACGCGGUACCGGAAUAGAAAGCCACGGCUAACUACGUGCCAGCAGCCGCGGUAAUUC